AGCCCAUGAGAUGGGCAUUUAAGGAAGAGUUUCUUAAACCUCACCCACGUUUCAUGGAUGGGUUCAUCUUCCCAUUGCUUGAAACAUUGAAUGUCAUCUCUAAGUUU